CCUACGGGCGGCUGCAGUGAGGAAUAUUGGUCAAUGGACGAGAGUCUGAACCAGCCAAGCCGCGUGAAGGAUGACGGCCCUAUGGGCUGUAAACUCCUUUUAUAUGGGAAUAAAAUUUUAUACGUGUCUGUUCUUGUCUGUACCAUACGAAUAAGGAUCGGCUCACUCCGGGCCAGCAGCCGCGGUAAUACGUAGGGUCCGAGCGUUAUCCGGAUUUAUUGGGUUUAAAGAGAGCGUAGGUGGAGCGUUAAGUCAGUUGUGAAAGUUUGCGGCUCAACCGUACAAUUGCAGUUGAAACUGGAAGACUUGAGUGCAGUAGAGGAAGGCGGAA
rnacentral:rRNA from 1 species